GUUACUGAUGGUUCUUGAUGUUGGUGAUCUCUGUGAGUGAAUAUCUGAAUGUGAGGGCAGUAUGUGGUGGUUUCAGAGAGGGCUCUGUGCUCUUCCGGGGGCUCUAGUUAUCUGGUCAUCCGAUACGUUCCUCAUCUCUUAUGCCACAGCGGUCGUGUUGGGCCAUGCCGACAUACUCAUUCCAUAAGUGACACAGGCACUGAGGUUCCUGAACGCUGUGUGUUUGGCUUCAUGCUGUCAAUCUCAGCUUUCUCAGCCUCUGAGUCGGGCUUACAGCUGCUGAACUACACAGGCCUCCUGAUGGGCAUCGUCAGCACUGUAGGGAUGUGCUUUGUGGCCAACUUCCAGAUAUGAUAUAUCCAUCCACCUGUUGGGAGCAGGGCUGACCUUUGGUGCUGGGACGUUGUAUGUACUGGUCCAGACUGGCAUGUCGUAUCGCAUGCAGCCACGUUUCCGUGGCAGGGAUAUUUUUUGGGCUCGUAUGGCUGUGGGAAUGUGGUCGCUCAUUAGCAUCAUUACAUGUAUCCUUUUUCUCAAUAUAUAUGCAGUCUUUAAAAUCAUCUCAGUUUGUAAUGAUUCUCUAUAUUUCUUAUAAACCAACUGUGUCAGUA